CGUUAUUCGGAAUUACUGGGCUUAAAGGGUGCGUAGGCGGUGUCGUAAGUCGGAUGUGAAAUACCUUAGCUUAACUAGGGAACUGCACUCGAUACUACUUUGCUAGAGUAAGACAGAGGUGAGUGGAACUGAGGGUGGAGCGGUGAAAUGCGUUGAUAUCCUCAGGAACACCGGUGGCGAAGGCGACUCACUGGGUCUUUACUGACGCUGAUGCACGAAAGCUAGGGUAGCAAACGGG
rnacentral:rRNA from 1 species